rnacentral:rRNA from 1 species
AACGAACGCUGGCGGCAGGCUUAACACAUGCAAGUCGAGCGCCCCGCAAGGGGAGCGGCAGACGGGUGAGUAACGCGUGGGAAUCUACCCAUCUCUACGGAAUAACGCAUGGAAACGUGUGCUAAUACCGUAUACGUCCUUCGGGAGAAAGAUUUAUCGGAGAUGGAUGAGCCCGCGUUGGAUUAGCUAGUUGGUGGGGUAAAGGCCUACCAAGGCGACGAUCCAUAGCUGGUCUGAGAGGAUGAUCAGCCACACUGGGACUGAGACACGGCCCAGACUCCUACGAGAGGCAGCAGUGGGGAAUAUUGGACAAUGGGCGCAAGCCUGAUCCAGCCGUGCCGCGUAAGUGAUGAAGGCCCUAGGGUUGUAAAGCUCUUUCACCGGUGAAGAUAAUGACAGUAACCGGAGAAGAAGCCCCGGCUAACUUCGUGCCAGCCGCCGCCGUAACAC